GCUAACGAUGGGUGACGCUGGUGAAGUGG
rnacentral:piRNA from 1 species